GGAGGGUGGACUAUAUAAGAAUCAACGAAGCUGUCACUAUCGCGAACUACCACACGACCCGGCCAAUAGGAUACAUUUGCAGAUAAAUAACAUCUAAGCACCACACUCACAUGUGAUCUAUCACCUAACUCCCUCGCGACAAGAGCUAAGCGCUUUGCAAACUUAUACAUAAACUCAUUAUCAAUUAGAACUAUAUCAAAUAUAGAACUAGAGCAAACUAAGAACAUAAUAAUUAG
rnacentral:lncRNA from 1 species